GCAUUGGUGGUUCAAUGGCAGAAUUCUCGCCUUCCACGAGGGAGACCCAGGUUCUAUUCUCGGCCAAAGCA
rfam:Loxodonta africana unplaced genomic scaffold scaffold_35, whole genome shotgun sequence.